CUGGACAUCCCAAGACACAGCUGAGACUGAAGCACCUCUUCUAGAUGAGGAUGCUGCUUUGGACAGGCACUGCUUGCACCUGCCUUGAUGUCUAAAUAUGAACCAUCACCUACUGCUCUCAGUCUGUCUGGUGGAUACAAUUUACCUCAGCUUCCAGUUCUGUGUGGUGAGGAGGCUGCAGCAGAACCGAGCAAGGUGUGCCUGAUGAACCCAGUGUAACCAGCAGAUCCCUGGGUGCCUGGGAAUCCGGUAUGGACAGACCUGACCUGUGGUAGAUCCACCUGUGCUGUUGGAAUACUUACACUGGCACACCAACCUUUUCUUUCAGGUGAUUAAUGAGCAUGUUUGCUUUUGGGCUUCAUGCUGUGGCAAUGCAUCCUUUCUCUCCUCACAUCUUUCCUACGUGGCUCUUUCUGUGUUGCUUGGAAGCUGCUUGGGUUUCAAACUGAGGUCAGCAUUUUCUUGUUUGCUUGUGUCUCAGAGGUGGCGUCGCAUCUGGGAGAAGUGAAAACCUUUCUUCCUACAUAAUUAAAAAAUGCUGCUGUUUGCAGCCUCUGUAGGUCCUCAGGGUGUGUGGACAGUCACCAAGGUCUUUGACACCCUUGCAAAAUCUCACCGGGUCAGUGCUGGGGAGCUGGAUGGAGGAAUCUUGCACCACCAUGCUUGUGGCAGCUGUGCUCUGCAAACCUCUGCAUUGUCCAUGCUCCCUGUGCUGGUGUUGCCUGGAAGCUUUCCUUUGCAGCUCAGUCAGUUUUGAAAAUGGGAAGGAAGAGAUACUGAACGUGCACUGCUGUGCCUCUUCUGUCCCAGAGCGUCCAAAGGAUGUUCUCUGGAUGCAAGACUAGUUCUUGAGCUGAGACUAAACCUCACUGGAGCAAUAGCCAAAACCACUGAGAACUUCUUCCACUAUGCCUUUGACCUACAGCAUUUUCUAUUGUUCAGAGUGCAAAAGAAAGCUGUGCCAAGGUGUAGGAUACAUCUAUUUCCUCUUCUAAAAUUAAAGGAAAAUGGCCUUAAGGGACUGAAUUGUGGUGGAACACACCUUGUUUCCUUCUUGAUGUCUUGGCUCAGAAAGGGGUUUGCUUACUGCUUACUCUUUGCCUUUGUGUUUAAAAACACCAGAGAAAGUAAACAAAAAAAAAUACUGAGCAAGGAGCAGCUGAGUGCUCCUAGCUCACACACCAGCCAGAUUGUCAUGGGUCAUCCUGAGCUGUAGAUGGGAUCCAAACCUUUUAACCUGCCAUGAAGAUAUGGAUGUGUUGAACAAGAUCAGAGGAGGGCCACAAAGAUGAUCGGAGGGCUGGAGCAUCUCUCCUAAGAGGACAGGAUGAGAGAGUGGGGUUGUUCAGCCUGGAGGAGGCUUCAGGGAGACCUUAGAAAGACUUGAUUUUAUCUGAAGGAAGCCUACAUGAAAGUUCAAGUUUUUACAAGGGCAUGGAGUGAUGGGACAAGAUGGAAUGACUUUAAGCUUAAGGAGCAUAGGUUUUUAUUAGAUACUAGGAAGAAAUUCUCCCCUGUGAGGAUGGCGAGACCCUGGCACAGUAUGCCAGAGAAGCUGUGGCUGCCCCAUCCCUGGAUGGAAGUGUCCAAGGCCAGGGUGGACAGAGCUUGGUGCAACCUGGGAUGGGGGCAAAUGUUCCUGUUAAUGGCAGGGGUGGAAUGAGAUGAGUUUUAAAGUCCCUUCGAACCCAAACCAUUCUGUGAUUCUUGAGUUGCUCCCAUCAGAGCACUGGCUGUGGGUUGUGUGCCGCUGACAGGAGGUGUUUGCUGUGGAAUUUGGUGGCACCUUUCUGGAGAAGGGAUGUGUUUGCUUAUUUGCCAUGGCAUUUGAUGGCACCUCUCUGGUGCAAAGAUGUGUUUGGUGUGGCUUUUGGUGGCAUCUCUGGAGCAGGGAUGUUCAAAAACCCUCCAGGGGCCUCACGCUGUCAAAAGCAGCAGCAACCCCACCAUGCAGGAGACAGGGACAGCAGGGAACAGUUUGUGCCACCUCAUCCUGCUCUCCCCUCCCCUCCUGGUUAGGGAUGACCACUUGAAAAUACAGUCCUGCUAUGCUGGAAGAGAGGGGCUGGGUUUCUGGGCUGCUUUGCAAAGAUGAAUAUUCUUCAAAACCUCUUGCUCUCACAGUCUUUGAUCUGGCCUGUUAAGCGGGAUAAAAAGAUGCAUCAGUCAUCACAGCAACUCAUUUUUGGUUUUUCUUCUUUCUUCUACGUCCACCUCAAGAGAAGGAAGGAGAACCAGGUACACACAUCCAGUCAUUAGAGGAGUACUUGGCUUAUCUCUCAGGACAGAAAGCAAAGUAAAUAUUUCAAGGGACAGCCUUAACUUUUCUGAACAACACUUCCCAGGGAAGAUCAAGGCACUGCUCAUACGUGUUUGGGCAGGGGGAGCCUGCAGGUUUCAUUUCCUGACUGAGAACAGCUGCUGUGUGCUAUACUCUUAGGUACCAUGGCUCUUAAAAAGAAAUAGCCUUGUAGCAAUGAUUGCACCAACAAAUUUGGCAUUCCUGCUUUUAUAUUAAAUUUUUUUAUUGAGAUGAUGUAAUUACAAGCAUUUUAAAAAUUAUUUGCAACUCACUGGCCCUGAGAAUAGGCUUGUUUUUGUUUUGUUACAUUCAUUUGAUUCAGUCCCUUAACCCCACACCUUAAAAAAACAAAAGCCAUCAUCAAUAAAAACACUAGAAUUUUAUUUUUUUUAAAAAAAGACCUCAAACUCUGGAUUCGCGUACAGUUGCAGUCUGACAAAAAAGAUCUGGAGAAUGCAUAAGUGGAAAUAUGGGGAGGAUGGCAGCAACUUAGUGUUCACAGAAAGGGCCCCAGUAGUGUUCUCUGGAUGGAGAGGCAGUCAACAGGUUUCAAACUUUAAUCAAGGAAGUAUUCUGCUGUGGAACUGCAGCAUGUCCUACCUGACUGACCUGUGGCUUGCUGAGGCUUGCAGCAAGCUGAUGACAAUGAAGGUCCCACUUAACCUUUGCAUAACCACUUAACACUCAGAACCUUUGCUGGGUGCUGAGGCUGGCAGGGAUCUGGCCAAACCCCCUGUGCUCAGGCAGGGCCAACCAGGUGCAGUUGCCCAGGACCAUGUCCAGGUGACUUUUGUGUAUCUCCAAGGAUGAAACGCUUUCUCCCUUUCCCCCACUUGCUCUGGUGGCAAAGGCAGAAAGUUUGGCUGUUUUGCUGCUGGCAAAUUCUACACUGGGAAAUCAGAAGCUGGGGGAGGGGAGGAAGGCAGGUGUCAGUGUUGGUGGAGACAGUGUUACCUCUGCUAGCCCUGGCAGGCAGCCACGCAUUCCUAUGGCUCAAGAUGUCUUUGCAUUCCCAUGGAUCUGCCAGUGGAUGAGAGGUCAAUGGGAAUCUCCCUCCUGCAGCUGCUCUGGCCUGCCAUUACUUUAUUUUUAGUCACACCUAAUAAACUCACUUCAAGACCCCAAGAGCGGUUCAAAUCCUGCAGUUCCCACAACAGGCCACAAGGCCCUGCAGUCCUGGCAGCUCCAGUGUCACCCACACCAUUCCCUUUGGCACCCGGAGACCUGGCAGGAGACAGGAGGGGCCUCUGUGGGACUGGCCUGUUCCAAGGUCAAAGGCUACUUUCAUUCCAACUAGCAUCAGCCUUGAGAGAACUCCUUCUCUGUGGCUGUGAUGACAUUGUCUUAAGAUGUCCUUUAUGUGUGAACUGGGAAGAGUUUCCAACAGCCACAAACAUUUUUUUCCCCUUUGACUUAGAUUCUGCAAGUGCAAGUGAUUGCAUUUCUUUGUAAAGGUGAACUUUUCCACUAUAAACUUUCCCUACAAUGCGUGAUUUUCCUGUCUUACCCAGUGCUGAGGAUGGACUUAAUUUGGUAGAUAAUGGUGAAAAAUGGGUGGAUUGUCUCUGCUUCUCUGUAUUCUGCAGUGUGCACCUUGGCCAUGACAAAAAGCUGUGACUCAUCAGAGCACUUUAUGCAGAAAGUCUCUAUUGUUUUUUUCUUGUCCCUCACUGUCUUGUAACAGCAGGCUGAAGAAAAUAAUGCAGUUAUGCAGUUGUCUAGACCACAGCAGUAAAGAGGAUGAAUCAUCCUCUGCAAAAACCUUCUCUUGCUACCACUGGACACCCAAGGAUCCAGCUAGAGCCCUUCUUUACAUUGGUACUUCUGCUCACCCUCCAUCUGUCACCACUUCACUCCAGCUGCUGAGACCUGGCUGCAACUUGGGGGCCCUUGAGCAACGUGGCAGAGUAAGGUCCCUGUGGGCUCACGGGACCUUAGGAUUCAGAUCUGUGACUACUGAAGUCCCACAGUGCCUCCCAAUCUCACACCUCAUGAGCUCCAGUGACUUCAGAGGCACGACAGAGACAGGUGACACA